GGUCCCUUGGCCUAGUUGGUUAAGGCGUGGUGCUAAUAUGCAGGAAAUCCUUCGUGUAACGCCAAGAUCAGCAGUUCGAUCCUGCUAGGGACCA
rnacentral:tRNA from 2 species